UCAAAGAUUGAAAAGCGGAUCCAGAACGCGUCGUAGAAGCAGAAGGAGGAGAAAAAGAAAAAGCAGAUUUCGUAGUAAAGGACGUAGAAGACAGCAGCCCGCAGAAUCCCAAAGAGGUUGCUGAGGAUGAGGCAAACGAUUAUGAGAUGGACAUAGAAAGGGAACCGAAAACCGCUUGAUUGAACCAACCUGGCAAAGAACAAUCUACGAAAAAGGUUGAAGAAGAUGAUUUGGAUUUACCAUCAACGAGAAUUGAACUGAUGAUAAAGAUGAAAAAAAAGGACUGAUAUUACCAAAGCUUUUUAAAAUUGAGCGUAAUUACAAUUUCCGUAAAAUAGUACAAAGUAAAAAAAAUUAGAGAAUUAAACUCAAAAAUUUGCGGUGAUGAAACAGAAGUAAUUUGUAAAUAAUAUGUAAAUAAACAAUCUACUUAAU